CAGUAGCCGCGGUAAUACGAAGGGGGCUAGCGUUGCUCGGAAUGACUGGGCGUAAAGGGCGCGUAGGCGGAUUGUUUAGUUAGGCGUGAAAUUCCUGGGCUUAACCUGGGGACUGCGCUUAAUACAGGCAGUCUAGAGUGAGGAAGAGGGUUGUGGAAUUCCCAGUGUAGAGGUGAAAUUCGUAGAUAUUGGGAAGAACACCGGUGGCGAAGGCGGCAACCUGGUCCUUGACUGACGCUGAGGCGCGAAAGCGUGGGGAGCAAACAGGAUUAGAUACCCGCGUAGUCCCUGUCUCUUAUAC
rnacentral:rRNA from 1 species